rnacentral:lncRNA from 1 species
UUUUACCGCUGGGGGUCUUGGCACCCCGAUCUUCGGGGGCUGAUUUUUGGGCGCGGCUGUGCCCGUGGCCUAUUUUUGGCACACGGAGACCGCCCGCAAACUCUGGGGAUAUUCCGAGUCCGGCGGACGAACUUCGCCCACGCCCCCCACUAAGGCUAUAGCCCACACGUUUUUUGGGCAUUUUUCGGCUGGGGGGUGUUGGCGCCCCGACUUUCGGGUGCUCAUUUUUGAGCGCGGCUGUGCCCGUGGCCUAUUUUUGGCACACGGAGACCGCCCGCAAACUCUGGGGAUAUUCCGAGUCCGGCGGAAGAACUUCGCCCACGCCCCCCACCAAGGCUAUAGCCCACACGUUUUUUGGGCAUUUUUCGGCUGGGGGGUGUUGGCGCCCCGACUUUCGGGUGCUCAUUUUUCGGCGCGGCUGUGCCCGUGGCCUAUUUUUGGCACACGGAGGCCGCCCGCAAAGUCUGGGGCCAUUCCGAGUCCGGCGGACGAACUUCGCCCACGCCCCCCACCAAGGCUAUAGCACACCCGUUUCUUGGCCAUUUUUCCGGUGGGAGGUGUUGGCGCCCCGACCUUCGGGCGCUCAUUUUUGGGCGCGGCUGUGCCCGUGGCCUAUUUUUGGCACACGGAGGUCGCCUGCAAAGUCUGGGGCCAUUCCGAGUCCGGCGGACGAACUUCGCCCACGCCCCCCGCCAAGGCUAUAGCCCACCCGUUUUUUGGCCAUUUUUCCGCUGGGGGGUCUUGGCACCCCGACCUUCGGGGGCUGGUUUUUCGGCGCGGCUGUUCCC